GAUAUGAUUAUACAGGCUAUGGAUCAGACUGACCCAUUUACCGGCUUCUGCUGUUUAGAGACGCUGCGGCUAACAACGUCAGCAUCAUAGUUUAGAUAAACUCUAUAGGAAGCGGUGAAGCUGUGUGGGACGGGGGAAGGUGUCUGGCUGAGAACAGGACUCACUUCAAAGGCGGACAGCGGUCCGGAUCCGGACCCAGACACAGUCUAUAUUGGUGUAAAUUUGACAGGUCGCUUCUAUUUUACCGGUGCAGCUUUCCAGUGUUUAUCAUUGGUCUAUCAGCUCAGAAACGCACAGACCAAUUAUGUACGAGUUCAGGCAUCCCACGUGACACUACUCAGCCAAUGAAGACUCUGCAUUGCGUCGCAGCUCUGCCUUCAAAAAGCAGUUGAGAGAUGAGCAACAGAGAGGACAGUAGUGAUGGAAGUUCGGCUCUUUUCAGAGAGCUUUUGGCACGGCUUCCAAAGAAAAGUCGGUUCUUUCGGCUCCCAAACGGCUCCUAAUUUAUUAUUGUUUGUAGCCUCAUAUUUAGCCUAACCGGGCAAAUAUGAAUCACUUGUGUUUUGACAAACUCUUUUUCAUUCAGUGUUUUUAUGAGAAGCCUUAUAAUUGACUCAUUUUGUGCAUUUGCUCUGUUACAAAAACAGGCAUUCUUACUUUUGUUUAAUAUUUCAACACAACUUUUUUGCACAAAAAACAAAUUAACAAAACUCUGCACAUGAACCCACAGAACCAGAACAGAAACAGAACCAAACUUGGUAUUCAAACAGUAUAAAUGUCCUCAGAGCAGGCUGACAUUCAGAAAAAUCAGAAGCCCGAGCUUGGAUGGGCUGAUACCAUUUCUUCUUUCAGUGAAUAUCUGCCGUGUUUUUGAGAAGAUUCCCUCAGAUGGAAGAAGUUGUCUCUCCUCCAUCAUCUUCACCAGGUGGGGCAGACUGAGGCCUUGGCCUGCCUCCAGCUCAGUGGGUCAUCUGCUGGUUGGAUGAGGGGUUCUUUAAGAUAUGAUCUCACCUCCAUUACCACAUCAGCUGUAGGAUUUCUCCUGAAUCAUCUCCUGUAGCUUAUCCAUCAAAGAGACUCCACACAGCAGAAGUUUGAGGUUCCUCCUCCACUUGGUCCCCUAAUGGUGGAGGUGUCAGGCUGCUGCUGCGGCUGCUGCUCUUAUUCUCUGAAGUGUCUCAUCAACAGCUCUGUUGUCACUGAAGGCAAGCUUCUUUAAUCUAGGAUCCAGUAACAUGUUUUCUGCGAGGACAGUGUUAAACUCCAUACUCCAUUAAAUACGUUAGGAGUCGGCUCUUCAGAUUCACUACAAAGCAUCGGCUCUUAGAGUCGUAUCUUUUGUACAUUACACAUCUCUAGAGGACAGAUUGUGGUGACAUGCUGACCGUGCUUGGCUCAGCAUACAGCUGUAAGGCAGCUUUCUCAACUAUGAACAUAAUCAAAACUAAAUAUCAUUCCAGACUCACCAAUGAGCUACUCUAAAUGUGUCUGAGAACGACCCUGACACCAUUCAGGCCAUGAUUCAAAACACUGGCAGGACAAGCAGGAGCUCAGUUCUCCCAUUAAGCAGCAGAGAUAUAAGGGGAGUGAUAGAAGCCAAGAAAACAAUGUGAAAGGGUUCAAAUGUUUACAUUUAUGAGAUUUAGGUAUUGUUAAAUAUGUUAAUAAGUUGGUUCAGGUUGUUCAGCCACGUUUUUAUAAGUUCUACACUUUAUUUUAAGAUAUACAGUUAUUUAAAAAGUUAUUUAUUAAUAAAUGUCAAAAUGUUUUGGAACCGUACUGAAUUUAUUUGAUGGUCAGUUUUGAUUUGAAUUUUCGCUCAAUACCCCUGGCUUAGAAGAAGAGGGACAUGAGUCAACAACCUCUAAUGAUCCAACAGCAGUCAGUGGAGAAAAAAUAAGAAAAAGAAAGCAAAUACAAAUGAAACUAUUUCAGUGUUUUAAUAAGCCUGUUGCUUGUCCUGUGAAUACUGCCGCUUUAGGAAACACUACAGCUGGAGCUAAGGUUAACCUUUAGGAAACCCAAUGGCAGGAAGAGGAGCUUUCUAUAAGUAUCUAAUUGGUAGUUUGAAAUAAAGGAGCCGCUGCUGCUGCUGUGUGCAUGCAUGCGUGCGUGUGUGAGUGCACAUAUAUGUGAACCUGACUGGGCUUUGUUUUAUGAGGCUGGAGAAAAAAAUAGACUACACCACUGGAUGUAAACAUGUUCUAACAAUGUGUUUUAAAAUUUUUCUGUAAAUCUCUGGUUACGUUUCCUGAACUUGGUGUUAACACUGAUGCAAAGUCAGGUUUGUCAGCAUCAUAAUGUCAUUAAUUAUUAGCUGUACAGUAAUGAAGUUUCCUGUAGGUCACAUCUGAUCAAUCAUGACAGAUCAAUAACGCUAUUAAAGUCUUUUAGCUGCUGCUGUCGCAUUGUUCAUUUAUGAUUAGCAGACAGAAAUGAAUGUUAGUUACUGAUGAAUGUUAAUCUCUCAGUUCAAUGAAUGAAACUCAGUUCAGUUCUGUGAGUUAACAUUUCUGUUCUUUGAUUCAGACUGUGGAUUGUUACCAGCUUGUGUUCAUUUCACUGAGAAAAACUUAUGUUGAAGUGAUUCUCUUUCAGAAACAGUAACGUUAUUGAGGUCUGAUCACCAUGACAUGAUCAUCCCACUGAACCACAGAGGUGAGUGGUACUUGUAGUUAUGUAAUGUAAAACAUGCUACAUUAUGAUACAUUAGGAUGAAAAAGAAUAACUUCAUUGUCUAAGGCAGUAAAAUGUUUUUUGGCCUCAACCAAGAAAACAAACAUUUCCAUGCAAUUGAAAUAUAUGACAAAAUGUCACACUUUCUAUUGUGAUACAUUCAUAUCCUGCUGUGUACAGUCUUAUAUUUAAUCUAAUGUGGACAGAGCAACAGAGAGCAUGAACAUUCAGCUGUGGUUGUCUGAAGAAUCUUCUCUCCUUCUUCAUCCCUGUGAGGAAGACUGAUGUCCUCAAUUAUUCCAGUAAUAACAAUAAUGCUGCACUGCAGGUUCAGCUCCCUUUCUUCAUGCCUUGUCUUGUGACUGUUAAAUAUUUACACUACGGCCCAACCGAUAUAGAUUUUUUGAGGUCGAUCCCCAUAUUUGUCAGAAAAAAAUCUCAAUAACUGAUUAAUCGGCCGAUUAACUUAAAAAAAUAUAGUGAAUAAGAACUUCUUUUUUGGUCUCUUAAUGCUUACAACAACAAAGAUGUGAAUUACAGGCAGAUUAUUUUUAUGUUUUACAGUACUUUUUGAUUUAGUAUUUGUUUAACUUUACAACAGGGACCAGGGGGGUAUUCCACGAAGCUGGCUUAGGUCUAAGCCUGGCUUAUUUCGGUCAGCUUCGCUAACUUUAGUGAGAGUUUUGUUCCACCAACAAGGCUUAGGGCUAGCCUGCCUUGGUAACCAUGGUAACUCAGCAAGAGCGACAAGCCUGGUCCGGGGCAGGCUAACAGUCAAGCUUACUUUAGCCCCAUGUCAGAGAAGGUUCUGACGAGCUUCAGAAAGACGCCUGUGAACCGCAUGUUACACAUUAAAAUCAUCUUGAUCUGUAAUCAAUGAUGUUCUUGUUCGGUGACAUACAUUGAGACCUUUUUUAAAUAACGCUGGAAUAACCGUGAAUCAAACUAUAUCAUAUUACACUACACAUUUUGUCACAGUGUGCAACUGUGGAUCAGUGGUUAGAGUGUAGUUAAGUAGAUUAAAUGUGGUUUUACUUUUCAUUGCGUUCGAAUCCACCAGCGGUAAAUACUUGGAAAUAUCUGAUUUUCUUUCUUCUUUCACCCUCAAAGUGCAGUCAACACGUAACAGGAAUAGGCACAGAUUGUCUUAAAAUAAGCAGGACACAACAGCCACAGUUUUCCAUAAAGAAUACCUUCCUUUUACCAGCGGUCCAAUCUGAUCAUGAUGAUAAUCCAAAGGUGACGCCAAAUGAUGAGAUAACCAUUUUGUGUACAAGCUCAUUUGUGUCUUCUCCCUUAUUGAAAUGUAGGGCACAGUAGCACUAUCAUCUCUAAUAAAAAUGACAUCUCCUCUA